rnacentral:lncRNA from 1 species
AACUGAAGUUCAAUUUCAGUAGGUGAACAACAAGUGGCAACCUAGCUAAUACUUACUCACAAGGAUUGCAAAAUCAUUUCUAAGAAUAAUGAAAAUGACUGCAGGUUCUACUGGUCAUUGUUUUCAGGCUGGUUGUAUUGGUGCUAGCUAGGUACCAAGCUAAAGCUAGCAACCCCAGAAGUCGCGGUCGAACAUAUGCUUUAUUACCAACGUGGUAUUGUAAACACAUCGUUCGUGGCCAGUGUUUGCUUGUUUGCAGACUUUUUUAUACAGAUUUGACAGUGCUACUGAUAGUAGUGGUGGCGCCGGGCUUGCAUGUGCAAAUUCACAACACUCUACAAUAGAACUGUGUUAUUUGACGUGCAUCCUUUUUGACAUUUAAAGACCCAAACGGCAUUCCAUAGCUUUGAGUUUGGGCUUAAUCACUCAGUGUGUGUGGUUUACACACUGUGUUUGCACAAUGAGCCACAUCUUAUUAAGGAUACCGGUGAGUUAACUGUUAAGCAGAAAAAGGAAAACUAUUUCACGGCACUGUGGAAACUUCCAUAAAAACUUUGAAGAGCUGAACAUCAGACGUUACCUUCAUGCAGUCGUAAUCAUCAGCCCUGGGUUCAAAUACAUGCUUAUUGAAGUAUUUGGAUUUUAAAGACUUUAAAAAAAUGUAUAAUGGAGACUAAUUAACUACUUCUAUUACUAAUCACCUGUGAUAUUUACAACCUUUAUUGGACCACAUUAGAUAUGGAUAGACUAGAACAUACCAUAUAUGACAUGAGAAACUUGUUUGUUAGUGAUGACAUCAUAGGCAGGUCGUACAGAUUCCUGUUUGUUAGUGAUGACAUCAUAGGCAGGUCGAACAGGUUCGUGUUAUAUUUGAUACAGUUUAGUCAGAGAGUACAUUGAGCCAAAGCAAGUGAUUGGAAAUAUGCUAUACUGAAAAUGUCUUACACACAGACACGUGGUUUUUGGGUUAGGGAAAAUAGGAUUUUGAAUGGGACUGAAUUGUGUGUCCCCACAAGGUUAGCUGUACAAGAUCGUGUGUGUGUUUGUGUGUGUGUGUCAUAUUUGGCUGAAGCAUCAGACACUCCAAUAGCUACAUUCCAAUAAACCAGCUUCUCUACUGUUAGAACACACAAUACCCUCUCAAUAUCUUUUUCUUACAGCAGCCUUUGCAACAGAAGCACGUUUCUUUUCCCUGUCAGAAUGACAUCAAAGUCCACUAACAUUGAAGAACACACACCAUCCUUAUCCUGAUUUACUUCACUUUGUUACUCUUGAGAUGAUCGUAGGUAUAAACUUUCCUCCUCUGACCACAGAUUCAGUGAGGUAUCGCACACUGUCUUUUCAGUUGGUCUUCUUCCUCUUCUUCCUCCUCUCUGACCCAGAUUCUUAUUUUUUUCAGUUUGUUUUCUUCCUCUUCUUCCUCCUCUCUGACCCAGAUUCUUGUUUUUUUCAGUUUGUUUUCUUCCUCUUCUUCCUCCUCUCUGACCCAGAUUCUUGUUUUUUUCAGUUUGUUUUCUUCCUCUUCUUCUUCCUCUCUGACCCAGAUUCUUAUUUUUUUCAGUUUGUUUUCUUCCUCUUCUUCUUCCUCUCUGACCCAGAUUCUUAUUUUUUUCAGUUUGUUUUCUUCCUCUUCUUCUUCCUCUCUGACCCAGAUUCUUAUUUUUUUCAGUUUGUUUUCUUCCUCUUCUUCUUCCUCUCUGACCCAGAUUCUUAUUUUUUUCAGUUUGUUUUCUUCCUCUUCUUCCUCCUCUCUUCACUCCCUCUCUGACCCAGAUUCUUUUUUUUCUCAGUUUGUCUUCUUCCUCUUCUCCUUCCUCUUUUCACUCCCUCUCUGACCCAGACCAGAUUCUUAUUUUUUUUCAGUUAGUCUUCUUCCCUUUCUUCUUCUUCUCCCCUUCUGCAGUAUCUGGAGUCUCUUCCCUCCCGCUCUGACCCGUUACAGCUGGGUUUCCUGUUGUUUCCUUCCAUGGCAGGAAGCUGUAAGACACCAGGGCUGUGAUGAGAUACAUGAGCAUGCCUGUGUAGUGCCCCACCACCAGGCAGAGUGGCUGUGCCAGGACGAACAGACAGAAGACGUUGACGCUGGCGCUCUCUGCCAGCUCCACCCGGUCCUCCUGACUGGCACGCAGCACGCCAAAGAAAUAUAUCAACGCCACCGCCGGGUAAAAGGCCAACUCAACCAUGGUGCCGUCCGAGUCAAGGGAGAGUGCUGGUGUGCUGCUCUUGAUGAUGUCCGAGACGUAGACGCAAACAAACUCCACGCGGGGAAACCAGAAGUUCCACACACAUAUACUCGUUGGUCUUUCAGUCCUACCGACACACACAGAGAUGACAGAUGAGAUGUGAGGGUAUGUCCUGCAGAGAGAGAACGAUGGACCUUUGAUCAUCAGUUCUGUUGGAUCAGUAAAACAUUAGCUAUUAUCUGAUGGGGUCAAAGCCUUCUCACACUAUGUAUGUAUGUGUGUGUGUGUGUGUGUGUGUGUGUGUGUGUGUGUGUGUGUGUGUGUGUGUGUGUGUGUGUGUGUGUGUGUGUGUGUGUGUGUGUGUGUGUGUGUGUCAAG